rnacentral:snRNA from 1 species
AUACCUUUCUCGGCCUUGGCUAAGACUAAGUGAAGUAUCUGUUUUAUCAAUUUAAGAUCUGAUAUUAACUUAAUUUUUUGAAAGGGACUUAACUAUAGUAGCUUGCUAUUGAGACUCUCAAAUGUUGCAUUGGUCUUAUACUUGGAUCCUUGUAGAAAUAGAAGUACA